rnacentral:lncRNA from 1 species
CUUUCAAAAACCCUCUCUUCGAGGGGAGGGGGGGGUGGGAAGUUGAGUGAAGAUUAGCUCUUGAGCUCUGAUUAACUCUUAGACUUUACUCUUAACCCUAUUGAACCAAUCGAAAAUAUUGAAUCAAUCAUCUCUCAUGAUUCUAACAUGCCAUCUACAAGGGAAACUUAAACUUGGGGGAGAUUCCGUAAAGCAAGUUAAUAAGGAGAUAUCAGUUUAUUCAAGGAGGCCAAAAUUAACAUACAAAGAGAACCUUACACUUGAAGCACCAAGAGAGUUGGACUCGACGAUAGCUCCAAAUCCAAAUGGAACUCCUUCAUAUAAUAAGCUCUCAGAAAAUGAACUAUCCAUCGCUCUCUAAAGAUAGUCUCGGUUAUGUAAUUUUCAUCCCAUCUCAAAAUUUGUCUCCUAUACCAACCAAUCUGCAAGAUUUCACACAAUUUCUCUUAUAGCCUCGAUAGUACUAAAAUUCCAAAGAGUAUUCUGGAGGCGAUGACUAUUCCAAAAUGGAAAGAAGCUGUUCUAGAAGAAAUGAAAGCAUUGGAAAAAAAAAUAAAACUUGGGAUGUGGUAGAGUUACCAAGAGAAAAAAAAAACUUGUUGGGUGCAAAUGAGUUUUUAAUGUAAAGUACAAAGUUAAUGGGACAAUAGAACGCUAUAAAGCUCGACUUGUGGCAAAAUGAUAUGGGCAUACUUAUGGCAUUGAUUACACAUAAACUUUUGCUCCCGUAGCAAAAAUGAACACUAUCCCGGUUAUCUUAUCCCUAGCAGUAAACUUGAAUUGCCCUCUCCAGCAGUUUGACAUUAAG